GACGAACGCUGGCGGCGUGCCUAAUACAUGCAAGUAGAACGCUGAGGUUUGGUGUUUACACUAGACUGAUGAGUUGCGAACGGGUGAGUAACGCGUAGGUAACCUGCCUCAUAGCGGGGGAUAACUAUUGGAAACGAUAGCUAAUACCGCAUAAGAGUAAUUAACACAUGUUAGUUAUUUAAAAGGAGCAAUUGCUUCACUGUGAGAUGGACCUGCGUUGUAUUAGCUAGUUGGUGAGGUAAAGGCUCACCAAGGCGACGAUACAUAGCCGACCUGAGAGGGUGAUCGGCCACACUGGGGCUGAGACACGGCCCAGACUCCUACGGGAGGCAGCAGUAGGGAAUCUUCGGCAAUGGACGGAAGUCUGACCGAGCAACGCCGCGUGAGUGAAGAAGGUUUUCGGAUCGUAAAGCUCUGUUGUUAGAGAAGAACGUUGGUAGGAGUGGAAAAUCUACCAAGUGACGGUAACUAACCAGAAAGGGACGGCUAACUACGUGCCAGCAGCCGCGGUAAUACGUAGGUCCCGAGCGU
rnacentral:rRNA from 1 species